ACACAUAGUGACUCUAUCUGAUUCUAAACAUAGUGUUAGGUAUAUCAUAAAUAUAAUCAUCCUUCAGCCUUGUUGGUCAUUUGUCUCAUCACAUAAUAACCUUCAUCAUUAUUGUGCAUCAUCACAUUAUCAUUACAUCCUCCGGCCUUGCCAGGCAUCAUCAUAUCAUCAUAUCAUCAUAAUAUUCUCCAACCUUAUUGAGCAUUAUCAUAUCAUCAUACUAUCC
rnacentral:lncRNA from 1 species